rnacentral:lncRNA from 1 species
GGUUUUAGUUCUCAAGGGAUUUCAAUGUAUAUUUUUACACUUGUGUCUUUUUUUUUUUUUACACUUGUUUCUUAACAUUUUCCGUAUAAAGAAUUACGGACUCGAGCCAAGAUUUUGUACCCCUGAAUCCUAAACUGUCAUGGAAAUAUUUAGAAUAGGUGAAAUUAGGUUUUUAAAUCAAAUUUUGGAAUACUGUCCUAAGGCAAUCUCCUUUGAAACUUGAAAUACUAACAAUCGAUUUGGAGAUUUUUAAUACAUGGAUUUCUGUUCCUUCCCUUUGAAUCUGGAUUCUGUGCCUGCUUUAGUCCUGGCAGUUUCUGGACCAGGUAGUUAGAAACUGGUAGUUCCUAAUUCCUGUCUCUUGGGAUACUCAGGGAAGGCCUGGAUUCCAAGACCAGAGUGGUGAUGACGGUCUUGAAGACUUCUUGGUGGGGAUGUAAGCACGUAAGAGGUGGUGAAAGCCAUCUACUACCGACCAGUAGGAUUCAGUAUGAUCCGAGGCUGGAAUAUGAUUUUAGGGGAGGAAUCUUGUCAUGUCUAGUACAGUCCCUCACACACAGUGGGUAGGUACUGGAGAAACGACUAAGACAGUGAGUGAUAAAUGCUGAGCUCCCCCCCCACCCCAUAAAACCCAGGCUUUCUCUGGGGUUGCCAUUCUUAAGCCCCUCUCCUUUCUCCUUGCAUGCGUUUGGCAACGAAGAUCAAGCCCACGAGCCAACCGUUCUCACACAGACCCCCAGCUCUACAGUGCAGGUUUUAUGAACCCGAAUUCUGGUUUACACCUGAUGUCAUUUCANGCUGAACUUCAAGCCACUAGCUGCGGGGCGUUUUCCAGGCUUUCACAUCCACAGCGGCAGUCCGGGUUUUCUAGGACGCAGUGCACCGCCCACACAGAAGCAGGGGCUCCCUCUUCUCUCUUUCCCCACUUUGCCCAGGAGGGAGCCAGCAGAGCCGCCCGCAGUGGCCUGGGCGCGCCGCGUGGGGACACCGCCCCCGAGAGCUCGGUUUCCGCACAGCGCAGCCGGCUCGGGGCGCGAGGCUGCGGGGGGGGCGCGCGCGGCCCGCGGGGGUCCGGCGGGG